CUCAGUCGCCUCUUCACGCUCGUUCCCCUCGCUCACCCAGUCCACCAAAUCCCUAGCCCGCGGCGGUGACGCACCUCCCCCUCACUCGCGUCGGCGAAUCAACCGCAUCGCCGCCCUUCUCCUCAGGCGUCGCCGCCGGGCCUUCUCGUCUGCGUCGCCUCUCCCUCUUGCCCGCAUCCUCUGCGUCACAGUCGAGCCAAAGUUGGAUAUUUUAGCGAGGUCGAGUAGGAGCGUGAGAAGCGCGGGCACGGCGGCCUUGUCCUGCUCGAGGAAGGCGGCGACGGAUGCUAGCGCUCCUCGCCGCCAUCGACCUGCAAGGAGGAGUGCCGUGUUGGACGCUGCCAUCUCCGACGCUGCUGGUACUCCUCCGCCGCUACGAGUGCCCCGUCACCUGCGCCCAGGUCAAGCGCGAAGUCGAGCUCCCCAUGCUUGACCUGCAAGAUGUACUGUGGUUAAGAACUGCUCUCUGCCGCGGGAGUAGAUUGGAAAGGCUGCUGCUGCUCCUGUACAAUGCGGUUGCUGCUGCUCCUGUACAAUGCGGCUGCUACUGCCACUACCACUCAUCGAUUCGGGCAUGAGCACAUUCUUGGAGUGGAUCUGCAUUUCAAAAAGUUAACAAGUGGGAGUACAUGGAGUACUACAUUUUAAGUCGAGGAGAAGAUGGUAACUGCUCCGUGAUGAUGCCACCAGCACCUACGACUUCCUCGACCACCACCACCAUGAUGACGACUUCCUCGAAAGUGGUGAGUACUCCUCCAAUGCUUGUACUCUUAUCAAUGUUUACUGCUGUGAUCAUGGAGUAGUUAGCUGCUGUUAUCAUGGCAGGAGUAAUGCACCAUUAGUUGGUAAGAAAUAAUGUCAGUAUGAAACCUCUCGACAUUAACUGUUUUUUUUGUGAGGAACAGUACAUGGUUUCAACUUUAUUUGCCCCAUUCCAUGUUCUGAAAUCAUUACCAAAUCAUACGAAGCAUGAUAACAAUGUUCAAGCUGAUUUGGUGAAUCCGUAGAUUACAUCUUACUGUGUGUUCCCAAAAUAUUCAGCAUUGCAAAACAAAGAAAUAUUAAAUACAAGUUUCACUAUGGAUGAUAGUGUGAAACACUAUAUCAUAUUUUCUUUUUCCUGGGAGCAUCAUGGACCAACUUGUCAAUGUAACCUCGGUUGUAUACUACAUCUACAUCCCUGUCAAUGAACAUGUGCACUAUUGAACUAUCUAUGCAUCCACAUCUCUAUGAAGAUACAUAUACUACUGCAUCUUGGAUGAAUACUAUUGUCAGUUUACUCGCAUGAGCCAUUCAAGGAAAGUAGUCUCUCAGUUCUAGUGUACCUAGAUGUACGAUGAAACGAACUUGUGAACCAAAGCAAUUUGAGUUGACAACCGGACAGAGGAAGCGGGCAAGAGAUGAUUUAUUUAUGGGCGAUGAUGAUUUGCUACAAAUACAUAUACUGCUACCUUCCAUGCAUGUCAGUAUCUGAUGCUACCACUUGAUUCCCUGAAGAUUGAAGAACCACCUCCUACCAUUAAUAAAUCAUUUCAUAUAAACUACUGUACCUAGCAAUGUAAAAAAUACAAAAAGGAUAAAAUCACUAACCUGUCAUAGAAAAAAUGGCACACUCCUGGCCGUCCUGCAUGUUUUGGCUUCAAUUUCCCUCGCCUUGCAUGUCACUGCGUCCUUAAGAAAAACAAACACAUUGAUAAUUAUAAUUAAGAACUUCGCCUACAACAAAACAAAACCAGCAGAAACUGAUCGCUUUCAUUGUCUUCAAGACCCUCAUUGUCCUCUAAUAAUAUAGUUUGAGAGAAGUCCACAUUACCCCUCGAACUUGUCUUUGGCUUCACUUUACAAACCUCAGAAUUGUGUUCGUUCAAGUUUCAUCCUUCAACUUUAUAAACCGUUCAUAAUUAUAAGGGGUCUGCUUCAGUAUACCCAGCCUUCUCUUAUUUUAUUUAUUAGAACAUGCCGAUGUUACAUUAUUCUGAACUUCCCAUCUUAUUUAUUAGAACAUGCCGAUGCCACUGAAAAUUAUGAUUACUAUAUCCGCACAGCCUCAUACCUGGACUACUUGGGUAAUUCUCAUCAACAUUUCGUAUGAAAGGCGCAUCAAGCCCUACCUGAUUCCCCUCGUACGUAUGAUCAGAACCUACAUGGAAGGGAUCAACAAAAAAGCCGUAAGCUGUAGACAGAAACAAAGAUGAACACCCAUAAGCAUAAACUGUUUCGUAUGAAAGGCACAUCGGGUAGUACCAUUUGAAUUUUCCGGUACAUAUGCACCAUAAACAUGUGUGAGAUUACUCGCCGCCGGCAACGAAGCAACUUGAUGCACACCCACCCGUAGCAAACUUGUUCCAUCUGAUUGUUCUUGCCUGGAUCAAUACAAAGCCGAUGAUAUAUAGGCAACAAAGUAUGCAGGCAACAUUCUCAGCAUUGAGUAGCUAUAUCGUCAACAUUUUCCUUUUCCCUUUUAUCCUCAUCUACCUAAAUACCCAGAUAGAACUCUGCUUGCCCAACAGCUCCACAUGCUCUGACUUCUUCUGUCUUUUUAGCUUCUCCUUAUUCCUCCAGCUCUCGGCUUCUCAACUUCUAAGAUCUUUCUUUCAUCUGUACAUCAUCACAUGUGCGCUAUAGGUGUGCCUAAAGAUCAUUUUAUUGCCACUAACAAAAUGGUGAGCUAUUCUAAAAACAGGCACACCAUGAUAAUUAAGGUAAAACAAGGUUGAGUCUCAUGGGCAGUACUACAGACAAAUAGGAGUCCUUGUUUCCUGUAAGAGGUUCAUAUGAAAAGUUAAGGCAAUGAUAAUUAGUAAGACUGACGCUCCGAAUUAAAGCCGAUUGGAUGAGGUAAUUCGUCAAAGAAGUACAAUGCAAAGCUGAAACAAUGCAAGUGAAUUAAAAGAGGGGCUGAUGGAAAUUGAGCUUCAAGCGGCGACAUCCUUCGUGGCAUAUGUAAUACAACCGAUUCAGUUCAAAUAUGUAUUUAUUAUGUUAGCAUGAAGGGUAAAAAGAAAGGGGACAAACUAAUCUUAUGUUUAAGCAUACAAAAAAAGUAAAAUCUAAAUAGUGAUGUGAUCACUUCCUUUUAAACAGUUGUUACGAUCAGGUCAGAAGAUUGAAAAACUAUAAUAUUUAUAACAAUGGAAUAGAGGGGCUACUACAUUACACACUUAUGUUUCUACUCAUUCAGUUGAGGAAAAUCCAUGAUGCACAAAACAAGAUCAAUUUCAUCAAUCUGAUUGUUAAUGACCACAAAAUGACAUGAUACAAAAGAAAAUAGCAUGUGCAUUUAAUAGAAAGUGCUUGUGCAUUGCUACUGGUAAUAAUGGAGAUAACUGAAUACCAUGUGAAUUUAACGCAAAAUGAAGGUUCCAACCAAAGAUUCGAAAUACCCAUCACCUCCAUGACAUGAUAAUUUAGAAUGACAUAUGAGUGAAUAUCACCAAAAGGAGGACCUCCUAUGGUGUAGGAGGCUUAAAUCUGAUAUAUCAAGAUCAAAGUCUUCUCACCAUAAUGGAGAUAACUGAAUACCAUGUGCAUUUAAUAACACAAAAUGAAGGUUCCGACCAAAGAUUUGAAAUAACGAGAACCUCCAUCACAUGAUAAUUUAAAAUAACAUAUGUGAAUGUAUUUGUACUGUAAAGUUAUUCAAUGUGCCAUGUGAUAGGAAAGAGAGAAAAUAUGCCUAGGUAGGUUCUUACUACAAUUGUUGCUCCUGCUACUAAUUACCAGUUACUUCAAUCAAUAGCUAAAAAGUAUUUUAACGUUUCUCUGCCCUAAAAAGUAUUUUAAUGUUUUUCUCUGCCCCUGCUCUUGGAUUUGAUUGCAGACUUGAUUAGCCUUACCGAAUCUUAGAGUUGCUUCGCCAAGGCGUGUCGUUUUUCACCUUCCCAUUGCAUUCAACAAAAUAUUUUCCUAUCACUCCCUUUAGCUGAUGGUUCAUCCCCACAUAAGAUGUACCUGAUGCUCCCUGGAAAACCACAUCUGUGUAUCUUCUGUUACAUACAUGAGAUUCUCUAAUGCGUGUUUAGGCAGGAGCUAGCAUAUUAGGAAUGAAACAUACAAGCCCGAUGAACACUGGAUUCACGCACAACCACAGGAAAUCCCUCCAAACUAAACUAACCUGUGAAUCCCGCUUCAGCGAGGCAGGUGAGGAGGAGGGUUACCAGAGGCUGGAGGAAAAUGAGAGCAGGGACUGCCCGCCGAGCAUCCCCAUCGCUGGCGAGCCGAGCAUCCCCAGCCGGUAGCAAGGGACAAGGGAGCAGUAGGCACUACAUACCUCCAUUAUUAUAGUUAAAUGUCAUGUCUGGACUGACCUUUCCUUCUUCCUGGGCAGCCAACACUUUGUAGUUGGAAAUACUAUCAGUUUACACUCCUGAUGAAGUGGUAAAAAUACAUAAUUGAGAAAUAGAUUUACCCUUAUAAUUGCUUGCACUGCACACUUCCUUACAUUUGAAUUUGCAGAUGAUUCUUCAAAUGAGAGAUGUUCCAAAAUUUAGUGAUUACCUGAUGUUUCAGAUGAUGAUCAGGAUGAUUGACAAGGAAGAAAUGUUCCACAGGCUUGCUAUCUGAUUCAUCGGGGUCUGGUGGUAUGUUCCGUACAAGAACCUACAAUAAAAACACAUUGAUGACUCAGAAUCAAAAGAAUAAUCAGAGAACCAUUAAUCUAGAUAAGAUCAUUGUUGUAUGCAGCAUUCUUUUUUCUAGCAAAGGGGUCUAAACUGAGCUCAUGUAUAAGUUGCAAUCACAAAGGGAUCCCAUGGCCUCAAUCCUCAGCUCCAUCUCUCUAUCCUGAUCUGAUUCUCUCCGUCUUGAACCAAAUAGAGAAAAGAGGGGAGAUGAACCUGAGGGAGGAAGGCGAUCGCAUGGUGGCGAACGCAGGAGGAACCGGAGGACGGGAGCAUGGUGGUUGAUGCCUAGGGUUUAGCGCAGAUCGUGGCGGCGUCUCCUCUGGGAGGUCGGCGGCGUGCGAAGGCGAAGGCGUACCUCAGCAGAGGUCUCCAGAUGGCGACCCAGAGGUCCACAACGAUGGCGGCGCCGCCUCCACGACCCCUCGGAGCCGGCAAAGGGAUCCGCGGCUUGCGCCUGGGAUCUGCCAGGCGGCGGCGUUCGCGUCGCGAAUAGAUCCAGGGGUCGUCGCUCCUUCACCUCGUACGUGCGGGCGAUAGGUUUAGGUUUUUUUGUCGCUGGUUAAUUUUCGUAGGUCUUUUAUCGUUGGUUAACCUUCGUAGGUCUUUUUUCGGUCGUACGUGCAUGGGUGCGGGUUGGGGUCUCAGCACGAGGUUUUUUCGGUUUGUGGUGGCUAAGUCAGAGGUGGGAGGAUGUACCAAAAAAAACCAUAGGAGGUGGGACUAAAAAAAACCUGGAAGCGAGACUACCAACUGCUCCAUUAGGAGUAGAGAUAGUGGGGAGUAACAUAUGUGUGCUGUCAUGCAAUGCUUUAUUUAUUAGCUUGUAGACUUAGCUUAUCUUGGUAUGUGUAAUAUUACUUCCUUUAUCUUAGUUUACAAGUCUUGCGUGUGUAUUUAGGUCAUUAAUUUGACCAACUUAAUAAGAGGCAUGUAGUACAAAAAAUAUGUCAUUAGAAACUUUAGAUAUUCUAUUUUCUAAUGAUAUAAUUUUUAUAUUAAACAAUUUAUCUUAUAUAAGUUAAACUGAUGACUUAGAUACAUGUGCAAGCCUUGUAAACUAAGAUGAAGGGAGUACUCAUAGUAUGAGUAAUUAGCUAUGUUAUUGAAUUCAUCUCUCUCCUUGUUAAAUCAUUGUCACAUAAACAAAUUUGCUGAGUUUGACUUUAUGUUACUGCUGAAGUUACUCACAUUAUGGGCAGUCAUACUAAUGCAAGGCCGAACCAUCAGAUUGCUCCACCCCAACACAUAGUUGAAAUAAAUGUCAAUGUUGCUCUACUGCAGUAUGCAUCAUUACCAGUUGUGGCCGCGGUGUGCAGAGACCGAUCGGGUAUUUAUAUUAGAUCUUGAGCUAUUUCUCUUGUGGGAAAUUUAGAUCCCACAACACUUGAAGCCUUUGCAUUCCAAGAAGCGCUGGUCCUUGCAGAUGACUUCUAGGAGCGAAGAAUUUUUGUUGCUUCAGAUUGCAAGAUUGUCAUUUGAUGAUAUCAAGCAGAAGAGUGCGGUUGUAUAUGGCGCAAUUAUCUGAGAAAUGUUAGAUCAUUCUAGAUUUUUUAUUAGUUGCCCUUCUAGUCAUGAAUUAGGAGGCUGGAUACCAAGACUCACAAUUUAGUGAAGCAUGCUCUCUCACUGGGGUUGGCCCUCAUGUUUGGUUAGGUAUCCCCGGUGAUCUUACUUUCGCCUUUGUAAAUAUUGUGACGAGUUACAUAAGCUUCAUGAGAUUGUCUA